GGCGUGCCCUCCGGCCCUGAAGCGGCCGUGGAGGUGGCCCUGCACCUGAGCGUGGGCUCGGCCGGGUCGUGGGCGGCCGCCCGGGGCUGGCGCAGGGACAGGAGGACGAGCCAUGACGUCCGGGCGCCCGGCCAGCCUGGAGGACGCCGCCCGGGACGCCCUGCCCCCGGGAAACGGCCGUGGCGGCUGUGGGAAGUGGAUGAAGACGUGAUGGAGGAUGUGCAGUUGGUUUGGGACAAGGUUACCCUCCGCCAAGCCCAGGGAGUGUGUGCCCUCGUUGGCCGGACGAGGCGUCCCUCAUCCUCCGACGAUGAAUCCCACGGAGGUUUCUUCAGGAGUUAGGGUCUGCGUGAGAAACGUUUGGCAGGUCCUUCGCCCAUGAGAGUUUAAGGCAGUGGUUCUCAACCUUCCUAACGCCGCGACCCUUUAAUACAGCUCCUCAUGUGGUGGCGACCCCCAAUCUCAUUGUUACAGAUUGAACAUCAUUAAAGCACAGUGAUUCAUCACAAAAACAACGUGUAAUUACAGAUGUGUUUUCCGACGGUGUCAGGCGACCCCUGUGAAAGGGCCGGUCGACCCCCAAAGGGGUCGCGACCCACAGGUUGAGAACCGCCGGUUUAAGGGAUGUUAUUAGCCAUUUUGUAGCAAUUAUCACUCCUCAAGGUUGUCACAACUGCUUUAUGAAUAUGUAUAUGAAGCUGCCACAAGCAGCGGUGGGAGAACGAUUAUAAGGGAAAUUGACAAGCAAAUAAGUAUUUCUGACGCUGAGAAAGUGUUGUGUGUUUGUUACUACGUACGUGCAAUAAAAUACUUAACUGUCACAA